UUUGUCGGAGAGUUUGAUCCUGGCUCAGAGUGAACGCUGGCGGCGUGGAUUAGGCAUGCAAGUCGAGCGAUCUGUAUGAAGCGAGUAGCUGACCGCAAGGAAGGCUGCAAGUGACAUACGGAUAGCGGCAGACUGGCGAGGAACACGUGAGUAAUCUACCUUCAACUCGGAAAUAGCCUUACGAAAGUAGGGGUAAUAUUCGAUGUGUCCCGAGAAACACAUGUUUUUCGGGGUAAAGGCGGCCCGUAAGGGCUGAUGGUUGGAGAUGAGCUCGCGUCCUAUCAGCUAGUUGGUAGGGUAAUGGCCUACCAAGGCUUUUGACGGGUAGCUGGCCUGAGAGGGUGGUCAGCCGCACGGGGACUGAGACACUGCCCCGACUCCUACGGGAGGCU
rnacentral:rRNA from 1 species